rnacentral:sRNA from 1 species
CUGUCAAGCUGGGCACCAUCACCCCUGAUGGAGCUGACGUGUACUCAUAUGAUGAGGAUGACAUGGUCCUGGACCCCAGCCUAGCUGAGCAUCUGUCCCACUUCGGCAUCGACAUGCUGAAGAUGCAGAAGACAGACAAGACGAUGACUGAGUUGGAGAUAGACAUGAACCAGCGGAUUGGUGAAUGGGAGCUGAUCCAGGAGUCGGGUGUGCCACUCAAGCCCCUGUUUGGGCCUGGCUACACAGGCAUCCGGAAUCUGGGUAACAGCUGCUACCUCAACUCCGUGGUCCAGGUGCUCUUCAGCAUCCCUGACUUCCAGAGGAAGUGAGUAGUGCCCUCUCCUUCCCCAGACCCCUCCUGGUCAGCACCCUCUGGGCAUACUCCUCCUUCAGCUGCCCUCAGCACCUCUGUGUUUGAUUGUAGUCUUAGAGUAGUUCCUAUCGGCUGGGUGUGUUGGCCCACACCCGUAAUCCUAGUACUUCGGGAGGCCAACAUGGGAGAAUUGCUGGAGCCCAGGAGGUUGAGACCAGCC